rnacentral:rRNA from 1 species
UUAAUGAGAGUUUGAUCCUGGCUCAGGACGAACGCUGGCGGCGUGCCUAAUACAUGCAAGUAGAACGCUGAUGUUUGGUGUUUACACUAGACUGAUGAGUUGCGAACGGGUGAGUAACGCGUAGGUAACCUGCCUCAUAGCGGGGGAUAACUAUUGGAAACGAUAGCUAAUACCGCAUAAGAGUAAUUAACACAUGUUAGUUAUUUAAAAGGAGCAAUUGCUUCACUGUGAGAUGGACCUGCGUUGUAUUAGCUAGUUGGUGAGGUAAAGGCUCACCAAGGCGACGAUACAUAGCCGACCUGAGAGGGUGAUCGGCCACACUGGGAC